AGCGAACGCUGGCGGCAGGCCUAACACAUGCAAGUCGAACGAAGUCUUCGGACUUAGUGGCGGACGGGUGAGUAACACGUGGGAACGUACCUUUUGGUUCGGAACAACUCAGGGAAACUUGAGCUAAUACCGGAUGAGCCCUUAGGGGGAAAGAUUUAUCGCCGAAAGAGCGGCCCGCGUUAGAUUAGCUAGUUGGUGAGGUAAAGGCUCACCAAGGCUACGAUCUAUAGCUGGUCUGAGAGGAUGAUCAGCCACACUGGGACUGAGACACGGCCCAGACUCCCACGGGAGGCAGCAGUGGGGAAUCUUGCGCAAUGGGCGAAAGCCUAACGCAGCCAUGCCGCGUGAAUGAUGAAGGUCUUAGGAUUGUAAAAUUCUUUUACCAGGGACGAUAAUGACGGUACCUGGAGAAAAAGCCCCGGCUAACUUCGUGCCAGCAGCCGCGGUAACAC
rnacentral:rRNA from 1 species